rnacentral:lncRNA from 1 species
UUCCGUGAUCCCGACGAUCCCGCACUGCAGCCAGCGACCAUUCCGAGCGAGUAGAAGACCAACUCCUCCGCGAUCACCGUGCGUAUCAACCAGCAAAGCCAGCAACGUCUCCAGCCAGCCGGGCGUCUUCCGCAUCAGGCAUCCGCCUGCAUCCCCGCCUCCUCACAGCUGCCGUUCUUAGCGAGCAAAAUCCGAGAUCCACGCCCUCGUCCCAGCUCCUUCCGGAUCGGCGUCCGUCUCUAGCUCCUUCCCCUUCUCCGUGAUCCAGGCAUUCCGCAUCAGCCUCCCAGCGAUCCCGCGGCACCCCUCAUCCGGAGCCAUCCCCUUCCGUUUCUAGCCAUCAAGGAGCACGAGAUCCGGCCAUUCUCCUAUGGAUUGACGCCUUUCGCCCCAUCCAUCCGCGAUUUUCCCUCCAGCAUCACGCCCCGGAAUCAGCCGGCCGUGAUCUCUUCUCCCUUCCCGAACGAGCACUCCGGACAGCUAUAAAAGGAGGGGGCUGAGGCGUUC